GCUGGGCAUGGUGGUGCGUGCCUGUAGUCCCAGCUACUCAGGAGGCUGAGGUAGGAGAAUCUCUUGAACCCAGGAGGCGGAGUUUGCAGUGAGCUCAGAUUGGACCACUGCACUCCAGCCUGGGUAACAGAGUCAGAUCCUGUCUCAA
rnacentral:SRP_RNA from 2 species